rnacentral:misc_RNA from 1 species
AAGCUAUCAACCUUGAUAAGAAGGUGAUUUCAUACUGGACAAAAUCUAUUUGGUUAUUCAAUUGCUUAAUGCUAACGAUUUGAUCAUUGCAAUACAUAUGUAAUGACUGUUAGAGCCCUUGACAUGAAAGCCAUUAUUGACCACUUAGGUGGUUAUGCAAUGGCCUUCUGCCUCCUUAAGGGAAAAAAAAGGUACAGUUGUUCACGCAUAACUUAUAUUACCUUUCUAUAUUCUAUGUUAAAAAAAAAUUCAUUCUCUUAUAACUUAAAAGAUCCAACUUGAUUAUUCAUUUAUUCUUGAUAAAGGCUAAAGAGUAGCUUAAAAUACUUACGGUUCACUUGCUCUUGAGUAGAUUAAUAGAUGAUGGUAUCCUUGUGUGUUGUAUGGUAAUGGUAUUGUUGUGGUAUUUUGUAAUUAAUAUGACAAUACAGUGUAUUAAUACUCCCAAAACUUAAAAUACCAGUAUUGAAUUAUUUUUUUUGUCAUGAUUGACACGGUAGUGGUAAUAAUGGUUAAAAUUGGCCAUUAAGCUGACAUUAAUCUCAAGUAUAAAAUUUAAUUAAAAAAAUAUUUUGUAAAUUAUAAAAGGGCUUUUUUAGUUAAAAAAAGAAAAAGAAAAGAAAGGAUGACUAUAUAAAUGGGAUAACAAAUUAAAAUAGGCCUUCUAAAGAAGUCCCACUAGUUGGUUUUAAAGGAGGUCCAAGGAGGAGUUAGCAUCUUAAAUGGAGAGGAAAAGAAAAUUACAAAGUGAAAAAGAAAUGUUACUGCUGCAGGCCUUAGCCUGUGGGUCACCCCUUUCUCUUUCUUCCUUCUCCUUUACUCUUGUAAUGUAUACUAUUUU